GACGAACGCUGGCGGCGUGCUUAACACAUGCAAGUCGAACGGAAAGGCCCUGCUUUUGUGGGGUGCUCGAGUGGCGAACGGGUGAGUAACACGUGAGUAACCUGCCCUUGACUUUGGGAUAACUUCAGGAAACUGGGGCUAAUACCGGAUCGGAGCUCCUGCUGCAUGGUGGGGGUUGGAAAGUUUGGGCGGUUGGGGAUGGGCUCGCGGCUUAUCAGCUUGUUGGUGGGGUAGUGGUUUACCAAGGCUUUGACGGGUAGCCGGCCUGAGAGGGUGACCGGCCACAUUGGGACUGAGAUACGGCGCAGACUCCUACGGGAGGCAGCAGUGGGGAAUAUUGCACAAUGGGCGGAAGCCUGAUGCAGCAACGCCGCGUGCGGGAUGACGGCCUUCGGGUAGUAAACCGCUUUCGCCUGUGACGAAGCGUGAGUGACGGUAAUGGAUAAAGAAGCGCCGGCUAACUACGUG
rnacentral:rRNA from 1 species